GAUCAUGGCUCAGAACGAACGCUGGCGGCAGGCUUAACACAUGCAAGUCGAGCGCCCGCAAGGGAGCGGCAGACGGGUGAGUAACGCGUGGGAACGUGCCUUGGUUCGGAACAACUCCGGGAAACUGGAGCUAAUACCGGAUAAGCCCUUCGGGGGAAAGAUUUAUCCGCCAAAGGAUCGGCCCGCGUCUGAUUAGCUAGUUGGUGAGGUAAUGGCUCACCAAGGCGACGAUCAGUAGCUGGUCUGAGAGGAUGAUCAGCCACACUGGGACUGAGACACGGCCCAGACUCCUACGGGAGGCAGCAGUGGGGAAUAUUGGACAAUGGGCGCAAGCCUGAUCCAGCCAUGCCGCGUGAGUGAUGAAGGCCUUAGGGUUGUAAAGCUCUUUUGUCCGGGAAGAUAAUGACUGUACCGGAAGAAUAAGCCCCGGCUAACUUCGUG
rnacentral:rRNA from 1 species